rnacentral:lncRNA from 13 species
AAUAUACUACGCCUGUAAUAAAUAGUACAGUUCUACAAAGGGAACACUUGCAUGGUGCAUUUUAGGGGUGCAGUGAGAUGUUUGGAGUCUCUUUGAUAGAAGGGGAGAUUGUUGUUAUGGGACCUUUCACAUCUCCUUUUGAGAUUAUCCAAGCGGUGUUGCCUAAAAAAACGUACUCGUUUGUCAUUUACCCUCCGGGUUUAGCGGAGGUGCGUUCAGUUCGCUUGAAUGUUUGCUUCAUUGCGAAUCGGUUUGUACUGAACGAUGCAUUUCCCCAACGGGUUCUUGUACAGACUUUGAGGUAUGUUUGGUGGGUGUGGCGAGGUGUGGCUGGAAGCAAUGAGUGAUGUAUUUAAAGGGGAAUAGCCAUGCUGACAGCAAUCCUAAACCCUACCCUGGUCUUUCAGUACAGCACCGUUUCCGUUCAAUUGAACAUUCCAGAGCAUAAAAACGCACUGAACGCAGCCCUGGUCUAGGGUGCCUGCGCUGCUUGCUGGUCUCACAAUCUCAACUCCUCUUCAGUGUAUUCCGGCUCAAAUAAAAAAAAAAAGUAUAUAUGUUCCUAUGUAAAAUAACAUUAAAUUUUUUUUUGUUGUCCAGCACUUCUUGGAAAGAGUAAUCAUCAGAAGCAGCCAUUGUAAUUAUUUAGUCAUCUCUGAUAGACAGCGCACUAACAUACUGUAGCUCCCGUGAACCUGUAGAAACUAGUACUGCCUCCGUUUUGAAAAGAAUGCCUUCGAGGGUGGGAACACAAUUGGACAAUGAAGUAGGGCUCCCACCAGGCUGUAGUUUUUACAAAGCCAGAAAGAAAAAACAUCUACCUAGAUAUCCUGUAAUGUCCUGGCAGAUAGCAACAGGUCCAAUGUCUCUACAGUACUGAACAAGGACAAUCAUAUCUUGUCAGCUGCUAGCGUAACCGUGCAAUCGGCGAAAAACAAAAGCUACAAAACAUGACAACUCUAUUCGUUUUUAGAUCAGACAGCAGGCUCAAUCAACCGAUGAUGUCAUUGGUUGAACUCACCGGGCGUGACAAUUAAAAAAUACCACUAUAGUGCAUAAUUAUGCCUAAAACACCUUUCGCUGGCUAUGGCUAUCCAACACUGUAACUCUUCCAAAUCAAGGUAAGCUUUUGGUUUCAUUAAUUUAUUGCCACGGGCCCGCCGGUGUAACUGCUAAACUGCUUGCUGACUGUACACUGUACUGCAUUAUUGUAGCAGAUUUACUAACGUGUUAGUUCUAGUAGCUAUGUUGACUAUGAAGUUAACAGUUAACUGUGUGUAGCAGUUAGUGGUUAUGAUAUGAAGGUUUGGCUUGGAAAUAUUGUUUUGACUGAUCAGAGACAGCUUAUGUGUUGUGC